rnacentral:rRNA from 1 species
GGCGGCGUGUAUUAGGCAUGCAAGUCGCACGGCACUUUCGGGUGCAGUGGCGGACGGGUGAGUAACACGUGGGUAACCUGCCUUCCAGUGGGGAAUAACUCGCCGAAAGGCGAGCUAAUACCGCAUAUUACUCCUGGUGGGAUUCCGGGAAGUAAAAGCAGUAAUGCGCUGGAAGAGGGGCCCGCGGCCGAUUAGCUUGUUGGUGGGGUAACGGCCUACCAAGGCGACGAUCGGUAGCUGGUCUGAGAGGAUGGUCAGCCACACGGGGACUGAGAUACGGCCCCGACUCCUACGGGAGGCAGCAGCUAAGAAUCUUGCGCAAUGGGCGAAAGCCUGACGCAGCAACGCCGCGUGGGGGACGAAGGCCUUCGGGUUGUAAACCCCUUUUGCGAGGGAAGAAGUUCUGACGGUACCUCGCGAAUAAGCCACGGCUAACUACGUGCCAGCAGCCGCGGUAAUACGUAGGUGGCGAGCGUUGUCCGGAUUUAUUGGGCGUAAAGAGCCCGCAGGCGGCUUGGCAAGUUUCAGGUGAAAUCUCCCGGCUUAACCGGGA